rnacentral:rRNA from 1 species
UAAGGAAUAUUGGGCAAUGGAGGCAACUCUGACCCAGCCAUGCCGCGUGGAGGAUGAAGGUCCUCUGGAUUGUAAACUUCUUUUAUUUGGGAAGAAACCCAUAUUUUCUAAUGUGGUUGACGGUACCAGAUGAAUAAGCACCGGCUAACUCCGUGCCAGCAGCCGCGGUAAUACGGAGGGUGCAAGCGUUAUCCGGAUUCACUGGGUUUAAAGGGUGCGUAGGCGGAUUGGUAAGUCCGUGGUGAAAUCCCCGAGCUUAACUUGGGAACUGCCGUGGAUACUACUGGUCUUGAAUAUCGUGGAGGUAAGCGGAAUAUGUCAUGUAGCGGUGAAAUGCUUAGAUAUGACAUAGAACACCCAUUGCGAAGGCAGCUUACUACACGAUCAUUGACGCUGAGGCACGAAAGCGUGGGGAGCAAACAGG